UAAUUGAAAAUAUUUAUUAAUUAAAUAUAAUAAAAUCACAGUUACACAAUUAAUGGUCACAGAUUUAUGAUUAUUGGUUACAUAUCAUCGAAUUAAUUGGUUACAGAUUAUUUUGAGUUCACAAAUAAAAAAUUUUGUAUGUCACAGAUUAUUUCGAGUUCACUGAUAAAAAAUUUACAUGUCACAAAUUAUUUUGUAGGUCAUAGCUCACAUCAUUGGUCACAAAUUCAAAAACUAUAGGUCACAAGUCACACAUUUUCUAAUUUGAUAUUUACAGAUUACUUUUUAACGACAAAUGAUCGAAUUUUAAUGUCAUAGUUUACGGCCACAGUCCCCACAACCAUAAGCAUCCCUUCUCUUCUUAGACUUCAGUCUGUAACAACAACUAUCCGUUCUCUUCUCAAAUGGAUUGCCACAACCAUCUCAAAUUGCAACCAUGCCUUGUCUUUUUUGAAUUUGAUCUGCAGUGGCACCUGAUUUGUAGCAACAAGCAGUGCUUAGCAAUCGAGCGCAACAAUCAUAGCAAAGAGGGAGACGAGAUCGAUGGUGGCUUCUAGUGCGAUGGAUAGAGAGAGAUUAUAGUGCAAACCGUCCGAUCUUCAUAGUGAACUUGAUGCUCUAUAGCAAAGCAUGUCUAUUAGAGCAUCUGCAAAGAGAAUAGAGGAAGUGGCUACGUGGUGUGCUUCUCUGCAUUUGUGAACGAUGGUGGCAUCGAUAUGGUAGAAAGGAAGAGAGAGAAUGAUGGUAGUGCCGGCUUAUGGGUUGGUGGUGUAGAGAGAUUAGGUUUUGUAGUGGGGUGGGUGGGUAAGUUGAAUUGAUACCUGCUUUUUGCUUAAAUAAACUUCCCA
rnacentral:lncRNA from 1 species